UAGAGAGCCAUCCACACGGCUGUGUUCGUCAGGCAUUUGAUCCUUUGUGCAUCCGAGUAAUUUGGUGAUCCAUUCGCCACUGGUUUGGCCAUGGGGGCUGGAACAUAAUGAGUGCUCCAGGAGUGGGCAUCAAAUAGCUGAGAAGGUGUGCCCACCACUGUGCUGUACUGUGACAGGUGGCUCCUGCCCACCCUGAGCUGAGUGUUCCCCUGAGAGGCUGAUCACUCCCCAAGCAGGGUCUGAAGACCACCACAUUCCUUGACUCAAUGUUCCUUUUCUGUUCUUCAAAGCCAGCAAUGUGAGGACAAGUCUCUUCCCUGCUGCCCAUCUCUUGCAUACCCUGGGAUGACGUUGGGCCCUCAUACAGGAUACUCUUUCUAUGUCAAGGCCAGCAGGCCCUCAGCCUUAAUUCCAUCUGCAGUCUCAAUUCUCCUUUCCCUGUAACCUAGCGCAUCCUAGGUGUCCCUCUCCGGGGGCCAUUAUUCUGUCUACCACAAACAAGGAGUAAGGGCCACCAAGGUCUCCGUCAUAGAGAGAAUUUGUCUAAUCCAAACCAGAGGACAUUUUGAUACUUCUCUGAAGCAAGAGAGUGUGCCAGGAAGAAGGAGGAAGAGCAAAAAGAGAAAGGCUCGGAUUCUAGCCUGUGUGGACCAGUUCUGCAACCAGCGUCAUGUUGGCUUGUUCUGGCCUCUGUUUCUCCACUGGUAAAAUGAGGUCUGCUGCCCGCUUUGGCCCUGACUUAACUACUUCUCCAUAUAUUACCAGUCUGGGGCGGUGUAGCAGCUGCUUAGCAUGCUUGAGGGCUGGUCUUCCAUCCCUGGCAUAAAAAAAAAAAAUCCAAACGAUCAGUCUAGUGUAGGCCCAGCUGAAGGAGGCUGCAGGGGAUGCCACGUGGGGUCAAACCAAGAUGGUGGGGAAGUUCCGGGAGUGCUGCCUGGUAGAUGGGCGCAGCACUGUUCCCCAAAGGCCAGCAGGCCAUCUCUGCUUUAUGAUGGGCAAAGGGGGAGACUUCAUUCUGGGAGCUGUGGCUACAUGGCUGUGGCCAAGGGAAUGUGCUCCCCCACCCCGAGACAGGAACAAAGGCCCCACCUCCCAUUUAGCCUCUUUGCCUUGGGCCCUGGAAGCCCUAGCCUUCCUGAAAGGAGCCCUGGAGAAGCUGUGGGUUCUCUACUGGCAUCCUCUUCUACUAUCCUAAAGGCCAGGACUGAGCUUGUCUGAAGCUCCAUCUGUGCUCUUGCCUGGUUUCUCUGAGGUCUUAGGGACAAGAUGAUUAGCUCAGCUUUUGACAGUUAGGUGACACUCACUCCAACUGUACAUCAGCACAGUGUCCAGCACACAACCAAAAAUCUUUGGGGGGGGGGACUUCCUGCCGGUGCCGUUCCUGGAUGACCCUGUCUGUCCAUUCCCUCCUCCCUCCCCUCCUGGCAGCCUCCAGUAGCUCUGGCCCCAAAUAACGGCAGGUCUGAGCUGUGGCCUCUCCUCUGGGAUUGGGCCUGUGAGGUUGUGGUUACUGUCUCCACAUUUGUCUUGCUGGUCUGGAGGGGGUCCUUGAAGGCCACCAAGCCUGUGGUGUCCCUGAGGCAGGCCUUGUGUCUCUCAGCCUCUGGGGCUCCAGGAGCCCCCCAGCUGGCUCCCUAGUAGGUGCUGGGUCAUGUGCUGGAAUGAGUGGGCAUGGGAAGGGGGGGCACUCCGCUGGGUUAAUUUGUUCCUCCACCCAUGCCCUCUGGGGGCUCACAGUGGGACUUCCGCCUGACACGGGUUGCCCUGGCAGUAUGGGGACCACGGGCAUCAGAUGGAGGGGUGAGGGCUGGAACAGGGGCAUCUGUGGUCUUUGGCUUCAGAGCUCAGCCUUGGAAUCUGCGGUGCCCCCUCUGGCUGGUACUUGCGUCUCCUCUUAUCUGCAGCCAGACCUUGAAGAGCCAAGGACCAGUUCUAUUAAUCAAUUAUCUGCUGCUGUGCAGAGAGCAGGGCUGCCUGGCCAGAUAAAGUCCUAGGGGAGGGCAGGGAGCAGGAGAAGGGGUUCGGGAGUGGAAUCUGACCCUCACCCGGAGGGGGUACCUGUGCCGUGCUUACACUCCAGUGUGCACAUCUCUGGCACACACAUCCCCUCUCCCUUGCACACUCCCUUCUACCCUUGGCCUCUCAUGCAUCUGGAUCCCUGUGGCAGCCCAGGCUCUGCACACAGCUUCCCGGGACCCACACAGUCACGCACCUCUCUAGCUCCUGCCCACCUGCCUGUGUGACCUGGCCCACGCCCUGACAGUCACACAUCCUUCCACACCCUCUGCACAGCCUCGCCAGCACCCACUGAGAGCUUCCUUCAUGUUCCCCAGGGCGGGAGCGGUGCCUGUGUGGAUGGCCAGAUGAGGUUUCUGAGGACAGAUGUACCAUUGUCUGUACCAGGUUGGAUUGGUCUGAAUUUUUGGCAUGCAAUCGGGAUGUCUGGGUUGCAGCCAGACGCCUAAAUUCCCUGGCCAUAUCGGACCCUGGAUGAGUCCCUUUCCUGACUCAGGCCUCAGCUUCCUCAUCCUCGAGAUGGGAAUAGUGCCAGCCCUAGGGGAUGUUUGCAGGAGUCAGUGCGAUGUCAGCAGGGACACAGAGAGGGUCGUUUGUAUUCUUAUUGCUCCGCUUGCUGUUGUCAUUGAUGGGUAAGGGGUCCUUUGGGAUGUGGGAAGCUCGUGACCAGGCAGCCCCUGCUGGGUCCUGGUAAUGUCCAGCAUUUGGUGGCCCCCACUUGUACCCCAUAUCAUUGGAACCCAGGCUGCUGUGUGACAAGCUGCCCUUGCAGGGAGCACCGUGGAGACCUCAGCUGCCCACAGGGCCUGGCAACUUCUGUCAUCCAUACCUGGGGUGCCCUACUCAGGGUUUGGGGACUUGGGGUGCAAGGUCCAGGACUGCUCCCCACAAGAUUAUCUACUGAGUAAAGGGGUGGGCAGCAUGAGGGUGACCCUGCCACAGGCGGGGGGCCAAGCGAACUUGGCCGGUGGAUCUGCAAGCAGCAUGGGGGUAGGACCGUGGGACCAAAGUGGGAGACAGUGUGGGAGCUUAUACUUGGUAUGCAUGUGUCAGUGACUCCACCAGGAGUGUGGCUGUGGAGUGUCCUGGGGGAUAUGGCAGUGUUGGAGGGGACUGGUGUGUGUGUGUGUGUGUAUGUGUGUGUGUUUGAACGUGAGCAUGGAGGCUGCUGGAUGAGCCUUCUCUGGUGCCUAGGAAUGUGAGUGAGCUUCCAGACCAUUGUGUGUCCAUCAGUGUGUAUUUGGACUGUGUGUGCAUGCACGUGUAUCUGUUCUGCAUGCAUCAGGUCUGCCUGUGGGGUGGGGUGUAGCGUGUCUGUGUGUUUGCAUCACGUGGUGUGCGUGUGUGCGGGUGUGUGUGUUACUUGUAGCAGGUCUGUCCCUGAUAGCUGGGGUGCAGGCCUUGCUGCGGGGUGUGAGUGUGAGUGCAGUGUGGGGUGUGUGUGCAGGGGCAGAGAGCGUUGUGCGGAGGGUGCUGGGCAGCUGGGUGCUUCUCCCUCCCUGUUCACGGUGGCUGUUCUGACAGCCGGGUGGAGAGGAAAGCUAGUCAGGGAGAUCAGUCAGAGACAAAUCGAUUCCCUUUAGAGGUGAGAAAAAGCAGAUGCUGCGGCUGCUGGUGGCCUGUUAGGCUCUCAGCCACAUCCCUCCUUCCUCCCCCUCCUCUGGCAGCCAGCGCCCCGCCUUUGUUAGGGGCCCUGCUGCCGCCUGCUGCCUCCAGCCUCCCCGAAGCAGAGCCCGCCUACAGGGGCACCAUGCUGGGUGCUUGGGCGUGUGCACCCUUCUGUGCAUGGCUGGGAGGUAUAGACCUUGUCCUGGACCGCAGGAAAUGGCAGGUCCCGUCAGUAAUUUCAGAGGCAGCUGCUCAUAGACUUGGCUGGGGACUCCGAGGGAGCUGGACCAGGGAGACAAGCAAGAGGAGCUGUCCUGGGGCAGCGCUGGCCCCACAGACUGGCCUCUUCCUGAAGCCUGGGGAGAGCAUCUGUUCCCAAACCCAGUUCUGCCAAUCGAGAACAGAUGAGCCAGGCUGGAGUGGGAGCCAAGGGCCAGCCUGUGGCCUCACCCUAGUGGGCAUCAGGGGCCUUCUUACCUUAGCUGCUCACAGCUUCCAUUACGGGAGGUGACCCCUGAGCAGCCAGAUCACCCCUAUUCCAGGCCUGCCUCUCUGCACCCCCUUUCCUACUGGGGAAGCAGCAGCCAAAGUAGAUCAGGGACCAGGGCUUGGCGUGGUGCACAGGUGGAGGCUGUCCUGUGGGUGGGGAGGGCUCCCCUCUCUGCGUCCCCAGGCUCUUAUUGGAACCAUCAUGUCACCCGCUCAGCAGUCACCGAGCUCUAGUUAGGGGCCAGGCCUUGAACUGGGCAGGGAGCCCCGCACCUGCUGGGUGACCAGCAGGGACUGGGAGAGAGCAUGGGAGGAGCCUGCAGCAGACCUGGCCCCUUCCCCAUCUAGUAGUGCCCCCUCCUUUCUGCCUGCCCCCUGGCUCCUCCCAGGAGCUGUCCCUGAGCUCUGAGAUGGCCACCUCCUCUUCUCCAUGCCCCACCCUGUCUAGACCUGUGAUUCUGCAAGGACCGAUACUUCCUCUUUCUUCCUUUUCAUCAUGCCCGCCAUGGAUGCCCUUCUCCCUGAGUGUGAAGGGCCACAGGUUGGAGCUGCUCUGUGGAAAUGGCCUUUCCCGGGCUGGGUUUCUGUGAUGUCCUCAGCAACCGAGACUCCUUCCUCCACCCUCCCUCUGCCCCCGAAGGUCCUUGACAUUCUGCUCUCACUCUUGGUUUCAGGCACUUUCUGAGACGCCGUCUCUUGCCUGAGCCGGUCACAUUGCACAUCUAGAAUGUGCUCUGAGAGACCUGUGCUCCCAGCCCUGGCUGUGUGUCCUGAUGCAGACACUAAGCCUCUCUGGGCCUUGUUUCCUCUUCUGCUCAAGAGCUUCGGAUCAGGCCUUGCUCAACCCGAAGGAACUCAGAGCAGGCAGUGGGCAAGGGGGCUGAGGGGCACUGCAGCUGUGUUUGGGUUCCUGGUAGUCGGGGCUGGCUCACAGAACCUUUCCAAUCUCCAUCCCUAGCCUGAUUUCCCAGGGUCCGGCCAGAUGGGAGAGGCCAAGAAUCAAUCUAUAAACAUCGAUUGAACCUCUUUUGAGCCAAGCCCCGUUGUGGGCAGACAGCACUUGGCCUCGCGCCUGGCCUGUGGGAUUUGUUCAUAGCAGUGACUGCUGGGAGAAGGAACAGAGGGCUGCAUGUGUGGGUGUGGGUGUUGCUGCACAUCCCCUCCCCCCAGGGGGCUGCCAGUCUCACUGGGACCCACUGGGUGGGACAGAAGAGCAGGCUGGGACUCCAGCUCUGCUUCUGACCUGCUCCUGGCCGGCCUUCCUGUUUACCCUCAAUAAAAUCGAGUGCUGGAGCUCUGUGACCUUGAAGACCAUUUCCUGCUGUGAUAUUAAUACCACCACUAAGAAUAACAGUAGCAGUCGAGGCAGAAGCAAGCAUCCUAAUAUUAGCUGCACCUGUCGAGGGCUGGAACAGGCCAGGCCCUUCCCCUUGUGAUGAUGUCAGGUCUCCGAGGCCCUCCCUGGCCUGAACUGCAUAACUGCAAGGGAACCAGUGCUAAGCUGCUUGUCUGGGGUCCCACAGCCAGGGCAGCAGGCAAGGCUGUCUUUGGCUGGGCUCUGACAAUGGCAAGGAACAGAGAUGCUCAGCUGAUCUUGGGGCUUGAGGGGAGAGGAAGUGUCCACUGUGGGGCCUUGGGUCAGCCACACCAAUGGGUUGCAGGCAGAGUGGGAUCUGGCCUGGGACUUCCGGGAACCCAAGAGCACCCGGGCAUCAGCACGAAGUCCCUGGAGCUGCAGUUCAGCAUUGCAUGGGCCUUGGUCUCCUCUGCCCCUGUUCCACAGCAACUCCUGCACUCCUGCCUUCUUCUGGUGUGUCUGGCUGGACCUCAGUUCCCACUCCUCAUAGAUGCGGCUGUCCCGAGUCCCAACUGGCUGUGGUUUUCCUCCAGGCCUCCUUGCUGGCUAUCUUCCUCAGCUGCUGGCCCAGGUCAACCUCCCACCCGACCAGUUCCCAUGGUGCCCUCCCUCUGGACUGGCUGCCUGCUGGGGCAGUCUCCACCCCCUGUCCAAUCAGCUGUGAUGGGCGGGGCACUUCCCCCAAUCAGCUGUUCCUCAACCUGGCCUCUGGAUGCUUUUCCUCUCUUGAGGACUUUGCUCUUCAGGAGGCUGAGGCAGAAGGUUCCCAAGUUCAAGGCCAGCCCGGGUAACUUAGCAAGACUCUAUCUCAAAAAAAUACAUACGAUCAUAUGCCUCAGUUGACAAACAUCUCCGAGCUCGAACUUUCUGCUAGUUGAGCAGCAAAGUUUGAAAAAACUCUGCUCAGUGUCCCUAACUUUGCUGAAAGUCGAACUGAAAAUACAACUUGGGAAAAAAACCUGUACUACGGAGAAUGAGUUGUGUGUUGCAUCUCAGCCAUAGAAACAAAGUGGUGACGCUUCAGUCUAAGUGCCACUCUUGCACCAACAACACACAGUGCUUGUGUUAGUGUGUUAAAACACUCAUCUUUUUUUAUGCUUUGUGUAAAAUAUAACUCUGGAUGCAAAAAAAAAAAAAACAAAAAACAUGAUACCAGCAGUAAAGCUAGGAGGACAACUGUGAGAAACACAAUAGAAUUAAAGAAAGAAAUCACUGCAAACUUUGUUAAAAGUCCCAGAAAAAUGAAUGUAUGUGUAAUCCCGAGGCCUCAGAACCAGUUAUUUGGUUUUCCAUUAUUUCUUAUGGGAAAAAUAUGUUCAGUUCUCAAACCUUUCAGUGUUCCAAUACAAAUUUGGAACACAUGGAGCUCGACACUGAGAUGUCACUGUGUGUAAAAAGGCCUGGGUGCAUAGCUCAGUGCUCUCUUGGUUCAAACCCCAGCACUGCAAAAGCAAAAUACAACACCCCCCAGAGCAAAUGAACCCCCCAAAAAACCGAGAACCAAAACUUAGGGGGGACCCUAAAGAGCUUUGAUUUAUGUGGCUUUAUCUCUCUGUAUUUAUAUUAGACAUUGAAAUGGAAAAAUUGUACAUUUAUUAAUUUAAAAAUAGCGAGGAUAUGCCACCCCAUAUUAACAUAGGUAAUUCGGUUUUCAUAAAAAACAGCUUUUCUAAAGUGAAGGUGCUUAGGCAGAAAGGCAGCAUCAGUGGGGUCUGCAGAGAUUCACUGAGGUGGAGGCUGCUGGGCUUGGGAAGCCGACUCUGCAUUCGCGCUCCCUCGCGUGGGGCCGUCGCUAGAGUGUCCCCUUGUGCGCUUGCGCAGGGAAGGAAGGGUGUAAAAGGUGAAUGCACCUCCUAACUUCCCAGGCCCCCGAGAGAAUCAGUGUCUCUGCGGGGCCUCUCCGCCGCUCCACGACCCUCCUCUGCCAGCCAGGCUUGAGGCUGCCGUGGGACCCAUCAGUGGCAGCUGAGGCUGGGAGCAGCUUACGGAAGGUGAAGGGAGCCACGAAAGCUGCAUAUAUUUGGGGAGGCAGAAUGGAGAGGGGAAUUUUUCCAGGCAGUUGGAAGUGACGGGGCACAUCUUCAAAGUGGGAAGCUGAGGCACCAUGCCAAGGCUGGCUGAGGCCUUUAGGGCCCUGUGUACUGCCAAGGUUGAGGUCCCAUCCUGCAUAGCUCAAAAUAAAGUUGAUUUUCCAUCGUGACACCAAGCUUCCCAUGUGUUAAUUAAAAUAGUGUCCUUGUAGUUCCUGGAUAAGUGCACAGAGCUAACCUGUUCCUUUCUUGGAGCUGAGCUGUGUUGGUGCCUAGGCUCUCGUGGGCA